rnacentral:rRNA from 1 species
UACGGAGGGUGCAAGCGUUAAUCGGAAUUACUGGGCGUAAAGCGUGCGUAGGCGGUUGAUUAAGUCCGCUGUGAAAGCCCUGGGCUCAACCUGGGAACUGCAGUGGAUACUGGUCGGCUAGAGUGUGGUAGAGGGUAGUGGAAUUUCCGGUGUAGCAGUGAAAUGCGUAGAGAUCGGAAGGAACACCAGUGGCGAAGGCGACUAUCUGGACCAACACUGACGCUGAGGUACGAAAGCGUGGGGAGCAAACAGG